rnacentral:lncRNA from 1 species
AUGCGGGGCCCAGGCCCGGGGCCCCACCGCUCACCGCGCCCCCAGCCAGGCCCCAAGCCGCGCGACACCGUCCUGGUCCCUUUGGAACCCCGCGGAGCCGGGGCGCGGCCUCCCGACCCAGACAGUUCAGUGAAGAAGUCGACGGGGCCGCUCGGGGUUGGGCAGGUCGCUGCGGCCACCUCGCCCGGGUGCAGACGCCUGCUCGGUUCCCUCAGCGGCAUCGAAGGCACCCACGGGCCCACGGACUCUUGGACUCUCGGACGGACUCGCGGACUCAUGGAGCCUCGGACCCACGGACUCUCGGACGGACUGACGGACCCACGGACUCCCGGACGGCCGCCGUCCGAGCCCCAGAGCGGCCGCAGGCCCUGGGCUCCCCGCGUGUCCCGCGGGCGUCGGGCGCCCCCUGCAGCCCAGCCCCCGCCCCGCAGACGCUCCCGGGGGAGCCGCUCCACCUGCAGGGCCCGGCCGCGCCGCGACCCCAGGGCGACCUCCCUCCUGCACAGGCCCUCGCGGGGCACCGGCGCGCCCGCCACUGGGAAGCCCUUCACGGCUGCGGCCUCCCGGGGGCCACCGGGGGCUUCACGUCGGCCUGGCGGGAGCGCGGACACCCGGCGGGAGGCGCCGACCCACAGGGGUGCGGGCGGGGAGCGCGGGGGGGCGGGGCCCGCACGGCCUCUGACCUGCGCCCCACCUGCGGCUCCGCACCGUCCCCCCCCCACCCCGUGCACGCGGCGCUUCUGUCCCCCCCGCCCAGGGAGAUCCGCGCCCCGGCCACACCGCGAGAGCAGCUCCAGGCCCCUGCUCCGGCCGGAGAUGCAGGAGGCGGGGUCCUGGCGCCGGCGGCGGGAGGGCGGGGUCUGCCCCGGCGCGGCCUUGGGUCCGGGACGGAGGGAGGGACGGAGGGAGGGACGGAGGGAGGGACGGAGGGAAGGACGGGGGGAGGGACGGGAGGAGGAGGAGGACGGAGGGAGGGACGGAGGGAGGACGGGGGAGGGACGGAGGGGAGGGACGGGGGGAGGGAGGGACGGAGGGAGGGACGGAGGGACGGGUGGCGCGGGGCCAGUCCGCGCGGACAGAGGGCAGUGGGGGCUGUGGUCCCUGUGGAACAGGUGGACGCAGAGCCCUGAGGACAAGGGACAGCGGAGACGGUGGCUCGGCUUGCGACUUGCGGCCAGUGCGCCGGGUGGGCACGUGGUCUCCUCUCGGCGCCCGCUGCGCCCCCUCUGA